GUUGAAGGUUGGGUAACACUAACUGGAGGACCGAACCGACUAAUGUUGAAAAAUUAGCGGAUGACUUGUGGCUGGGGGUGAAAGGCCAAUCAAACCGGGAGAUAGCUGGUUCUCCCCGAAAGCUAUUUAGGUAGCGCCUCGUGAAUUCAUCUCCGGGGGUAGAGCACUGUUUCGGCAAGGGGGUCAUCCCGACUUACCAACCCGAUGCAAACUGCGAAUACCGGAGAAUGUUAUCACGGGAGACACACGGCGGGUGCUAACGUCCGUCGUGAAGAGGGAAACAACCCAGACCGCCAGCUAAGGUCCCAAAGUCAUGGUUAAGUGGGAAACGAUGUGGGAAGGCCCAGACAGCCAGGAUGUUGGCUUAGAAGCAGCCAUCAUUUAAAGAAAGCGUAAUAGCUCACUGGUCGAGUCGGCCUGCGCGGAAGAUGUAACGGGGCUAAACCAUGCACCGAAGCUGCGGCAGCGACACUAUGUGUUGUUGGGUAGGGGAGCGUUCUGUAAGCCUGUGAAGGUGGCCUGUGAGGGUUGCUGGAGGUAUCAGAAGUGCGAAUGCUGACAUAAGUAACGAUAAAGCGGGUGAAAAGCCCGCUCGCCGGAAGACCAAGGGUUCCUGUCCAACGUUAAUCGGGGCAGGGUGAGUCGACCCCUAAGGCGAGGCCGAAAGGCGUAGUCGAUGGGAAACAGGUUAAUAUUCCUGUACUUGGUGUUACUGCGAAGGGGGGACGGAGAAGGCUAUGUUGGCCGGGCGACGGUUGUCCCGGUUUAAGCGUGUAGGCUGGUUUUCCAGGCAAAUCCGGAAAACCAAGGCUGAGGCGUGAUGACGAGGCACUACGGUGCUGAAGUGACAAAUGCCCUGCUUCCAGGAAAAGCCUCUAAGCAUCAGGUAACAUCAAAUCGUACCCCAAACCGACACAGGUGGUCAGGUAGAGAAUACCAAGGCGCUUGAGAGAACUCGGGUGAAGGAACUAGGCAAAAUGGUGCCGUAACUUCGGGAGAAGGCACGCUGAUAUGUAGGUGAAGCGACUUGCUCGUGGAGCUGAAAUCAGUCGAAGAUACCAGCUGGCUGCAACUGUUUAUUAAAAACACAGCACUGUGCAAACACGAAAGUGGACGUAUACGGUGUGACGCCUGCCCGGUGCCGGAAGGUUAAUUGAUGGGGUUAGCGGUAACGCGAAGCUCUUGAUCGAAGCCCCGGUAAACGGCGGCCGUAACUAUAACGGUCCUAAGGUAGCGAAAUUCCUUGUCGGGUAAGUUCCGACCUGCACGAAUGGCGUAAUGAUGGCCAGGCUGUCUCCACCCGAGACUCAGUGAAAUUGAACUCGCUGUGAAGAUGCAGUGUACCCGCGGCAAGACGGAAAGACCCCGUGAACCUUUACUAUAGCUUGACACUGAACAUUGAGCCUUGAUGUGUAGGAUAGGUGGGAGGCUUUGAAGUGUGGACGCCAGUCUGCAUGGAGCCGACCUUGAAAUACCACCCUUUAAUGUUUGAUGUUCUAACGUUGGCCCCUAAUCGGGGUUGCGGACAGUGUCUGGUGGGUAGUUUGACUGGGGCGGUCUCCUCCUAAAGAGUAACGGAGGAGCACGAAGGUUGGCUAAUCCUGGUCGGACAUCAGGAGGUUAGUGCAAUGGCAUAAGCCAGCUUGACUGCGAGCGUGACGGCGCGAGCAGGUGCGAAAGCAGGUCAUAGUGAUCCGGUGGUUCUGAAUGGAAGGGCCAUCGCUCAACGGAUAAAAGGUACUCCGGGGAUAACAGGCUGAUACCGCCCAAGAGUUCAUAUCGACGGCGGUGUUUGGCACCUCGAUGUCGGCUCAUCACAUCCUGGGGCUGAAGUAGGUCCCAAGGGUAUGGCUGUUCGCCAUUUAAAGUGGUACGCGAGCUGGGUUUAGAACGUCGUGAGACAGUUCGGUCCCUAUCUGCCGUGGGCGCUGGAGAACUGAGGGGGGCUGCUCCUAGU
rnacentral:rRNA from 1 species